rnacentral:rRNA from 1 species
AACGAACGCUGGCGGCAUGCCUAACACAUGCAAGUCGAACGAGACCUUCGGGUGUAGUGGCGCAUGCGUGCGUAACGCGUGGGAAUCUACCCUCAGGCUCGGAAUAACUCAGAGACAUUUGAGCUAAUACCGGAUGAUGACGUAAGUCACAAGAUUUAUCGCGCGAGGAUGAGCACGCGUAGGACUAGGUAGUUGGUGAGGUAAAGGCGCACCAAGCCGACGAUCCUUAGCUGGUCUGAGAGAAUGAUCAGCCACACUGGGGCUGGGACACGGCCGGGACUCCUACGGGAGGCAGCAGUGGGGAAUAUUGGACAAUGGGCGAGAGGCUGAUCCAGCAAUGCCGCGUGAGUGAUGAAGGCCGUAGGGAAGUACAGCACUUUUACCCGGGAUGAUAAUGACGGUACCGGGAGAAUAAGCUCCGGCUAACUCCGUG